rnacentral:tRNA from 1 species
GCGGGUGUCGUAUAACGGCUAUUAUGUAGCCUUCCCAAGGCUAAGACGAGGGUUCGACUCCCUCCACCCGCACCA